rnacentral:rRNA from 1 species
AUUGAACGCUGGCGGCAUGCUUUACACAUGCAAGUCGAACGGUAACAGGGUGCUUGCACCGCUGACGAGUGGCGAACGGGUGAGUAAUGCGUCGGAACGUGCCGAGUAGUGGGGGAUAACGCAGCGAAAGUUGUGCUAAUACCGCAUACGUACUGAGGUAGAAAGUGGGGGACCUUCGGGCCUCACGCUAUUCGAGCGGCCGACGUCUGAUUAGCUAGUAGGUGAGGUAAAGGCUCACCUAGGCGACGAUCAGUAGCGGGUCUGAGAGGAUGAUCCGCCACACUGGGACUGAGACACGGCCCAGACCCCUACGGGAGGCAGCAGUGGGGAAUUUUGGACAAUGGGCGAAAGCCUGAUCCAGCCAUGCCGCGUGUCUGAAGGAGGCCUUCGGGUUGUAAAGGACUUUUGUCGGGGAGGAAAUCCCCAGCGUUAAUACCGCUGGGGGAUGACAGUACCUGAAGAAUAAGCACCGGCUAACUCCAUGCCAGCCGCCGCAGUAA